rnacentral:rRNA from 1 species
CCUGUAGUUCAGACUAGGUCGUACACCUGAUGCUAAGCAGGUUUAGACUUGGCCAGUAAUUGAAUGGGAGACCAACUCGGAAAGCUGGGUUACUGCUGGA